GAACGCUAAGCGUUGUUUUUUAAUCACUGAUUUUUCAAACAAACAGCUUUAACGUUUGACAAGUUGUUUAUAUUUUUACUUUUGUUCCGUAUUAUGAAGAGAGGAUUGUGUUUAUGCCGGUUGUUGCAGUUGCACAGCAUUAUUCAUAACACCAAACCAGCAUUCACAGUGCAGUUUCACCCUGAGGCAAACCAAAGCCCCACAGACACAGAGAAGGGGAAGGAAACAUCACAUCUGUGAAGCCAAAGAAGCUGCAGUUCAUCAGAGAAGCCAGGUGGGGGAGACAAAGCACACAACUUGGAUGUCCUUUUUGACAGCACACGGUGCUGAGAUAUCUCAGUCACUUUGUGUUUAUUUGAUGUCCUUGUUUUGCCCAGGUAUCUGAAGUGCUC